GUAUCUAUCUCUGAAAACGUCAAUAAAAUAUCGGAAAUACAACACAAUUUAAAACAAGAAAGCAACAAUACAUCUACUUCUGUCUCAGAAAUCCUUAAACUUACUUGAUUAUGGAAUAGGGAAAUCAACCUAACGAGGACAUACAUUUUUCAGCACUACAGAAGUUGUAGAGAGAAGCUUCCUUCAUGUUUUCAACCAAACAUCACAUCAAAUCCUGCAAAUCCUCCAGAUAACAGCCAAACCAGAAAUAUUUCUUUCAGGCAAGGACGGCAUCCACCAUUUUCUCUAGUACUGCUUAGAAGGAUCGAAUUCAUCUUCAUUUUGUGCAAGGUCAUUGCUUCCACCAACAUCCUUGACAUCCUGAUGAUUACUACCGUUAUCUGCCUUUUCCCUGUCCCUGUUCCACUGUUCAAUCUUAGCCCGUCUUUCAGCACUACUUUCCCUAACCGGACUUCUAUUCCUCCUCCCUCCAGGGCUCCGACUCCGUCCUCCUCUAUGCCUAGGGCUACGGCUUCUAGGCCUCCUGCUUCUAUCAUGAUACCGAGGGUCCUUAUCUCCAUCUCUUCUACUAGGUCCACGUCCACGACCACCACCGUGGGGACGUUCAUCAUAUCCAUGAUGCUUGUGGGGGCUGCGACUUUGACUUCGGCUUCGGCUACGCCUGCGCCUGCUCCUCCCAAAUAAACGUCUUCUCAACUCUCUGCUUAUCUUCUUCAGAUGCAUAAAGUUACAAUAGCCACCACGGUUACAUACGUUUUCCUCAUACUGCCUGCAAGUAGCUUCUCGAAAAUCCGUCACAGGAGAGAAGUCAACAAUGAU
rnacentral:misc_RNA from 1 species